UUCGCCUACGGGGCGCAGCAGUGGGGAAUAUUGGGCAAUGGGCGCAAGCCUGACCCAGCAACGCCGCGUGAAGGAAGAAGGCUUUCGGGUUGUAAACUUCUUUUCUCAGGGACGAAGAAAGUGACGGUACCUGAGGAAUAAGCCACGGCUAACUACGUGCCAGCAGCCGCGGUAAUACGUAGGUGGCAAGCGUUGUCCGGAAUUACUGGGUGUAAAGGGAGCGCAGGCGGGAAGCCAAGUCAGCUGUGAAAACUACGGGCUUAACUUGUAGACUGCAGUCGAAACUGUUUUUCUUGAGUGAAGUA
rnacentral:rRNA from 1 species